UCCUCAGGGUUCUCCAGAGACACAGAAUCAUGAGAGAUAUACACACACAUGCACACACACAUACACACAUGUUAAGUGAUUAUACAAUUGUGUUAAAUGACAUAGAGACACAAAAGAGAGUGUACUGUACAAUUCGUAGUUUAAAAUCAGACACAAGAAACACAUCAAAAAGCUUAUCCACCACGAUCAAUUCAGCUUCAUACCUGGGAUGCAAGGCUGGUUCAACAUAUGCAAAUCAAUAAAUGUAAUCCAUCACAUAAACAGAACCAACAACAAAAACCACAUGAUUAUCUCAAUAUAUGCAGAAAAGGCCUUUGACAAAAUUCAACAGCCCUUUAUGCUAAAAACUCACAAUAAGCUAGAUAUUGGUGGAACGUAUCUCAAAAUAAUAAGAGCUAUUUA
rnacentral:lncRNA from 10 species